CAAAGCAAUGGGUGCAAGCAUUAUAUCCCUUGUUUGUCUGUCCUGAAAGAUUGCUUAGAGCUGGCCAAUCAUUGAUUGUCACGAACAACAAUGCUCGUAGGUCGAAUGCUUUCUGUUUGUACUCAUCCCACAUACGCACACCUGGUUUGCUCCAUAGAAGCUGGAGUUCCUCAACCAAUGGCCUCAGGUAAACAUCGAUGUCGUUGCCAAGUUGCUUCGGACCUUGGAUGAGCACCGGCAUCAUAAUGAACUUCUGCUUCAUGCAUAACCACGGAGGAAGGUUGUAGAUACAUAGAGUAACGGGCCAAGUGCUAUGACUAGAGCUCUGGUCCC
rnacentral:lncRNA from 1 species